rnacentral:lncRNA from 1 species
UAGUAACGGUUCGUGACGAGUACGUGUGCUUAUGGUCGGGACUAGCCAGUGAUAACGCAGUCGAGCUUUUACGAGUCACGUACGUUCUAUACGUCCGAGAAUAUUUUUUCAAAGAUUAUGCAGUAGUCGUAAACAUUCUCCUGUUAUUUUUAAGCUGGAUUUUUUAAACCGUUUGGGAAUUGAACGAUUCGUAUAAAUCGAGCAUGUUUAUCGAUCGGGAUCUUAAUCUGCAGUACUAGAAGGUACAAGCUAGAGAGAGUCGCGAGUUUAUCUCACUACAACGUUUGGCGAAAAACACGCGAAAUCAAGCGGCAAUGGGCAGACAGGACAGCUACUAGCGUUAUAGAUCUUCAAAGGGAAGUCGCCCUCGAGCAGGAGUCAAGGUGCCGGAAAAUUAAUGGAUGGAAAAUCGGGAGCAGAGGGAGAGGCGCUUCGAAAUUAAAGAGAGUCGGCGGCUCGUCGACGAAGGAGAUCAUUCGUCUGCAGCGCCGAGUACGAAAUGUCAGGAGAGGAGAUAAGCACCUGUGUACAGUACCUGGUUUCCAAAGCAUCGUCCUUCUCUCUUUCUCUGCAGCUCAGUCCUAAGGAGGCUCCGGCUAUCCGUCUCUCUCCCUCUCUCACACUCAGCCUGACGGCCAUUAAAGCAAUUUUAACGUCUUCUCGCUCGGCAAAAAAUACGAGUCGUUGCGCUAGACUGAAGAAUGAUCGGAGAGGCGCCGACCGUCGUCAUUAUCUUUCCUGCUCUCCUCCUCCUCCUCUCUCUCUCUCUCUCUCUCUCUUUCUCUCUCUCUCUCUCUCUCUCUCUCUCUCUCUCUCUCUCUCUCUUUUUCUCGCUUACCUUUACCUGCAGAGUCUCAGCUCUCGUUCUUUCUCCCUCUCUUUCUCUCCCGUUUGUUUUUUUCUCCUCUUCGGCUAUGCCUUGGUCGCUCGCUCGCUCGAUCUUCACUCUCUCUUUCUACAUCCACCCGCUGGCUCACUCUUUCACUUUUACUAUCCGCCCUCGAGCUCAUCCUUCUCGUUCGUUUUUUCUCUCUCACUCGGUGUUCGGCGUCGGCAGCAGCAGCAGCAGCAACAGCGGCAGCUCUUCUCGCUGCCCGAAACUGCGGGUUCGCGCUCGCGCGCUGCAGCCAGAAAAUGGAGAUCUCUCCUCAGCGUCGUCGUUUUGCAUCUCGCACCUCCCCCCCCCCCCCCUCUCCCACCCGCGCGUAUCAAGCUCCGGUCUCCUGCAAUUUCUCUCUCCGGCCACAUUCGGAAUCGUUAUAAGCAGGUCCGCGCGCGCGGGGUCCGAAGAUAUUAUGUUUCGCACGGGAACGUCAUUUCUCAUGAGAUGUGUGCUGCUGGCAGUGCUGGCGCGUUUCAAACUAUGGCUGACCGGCGCCUUGACUGAUUAGACACUUUUGGCACCGGUUUCGCUUUCCGCCAAGCCGGCUAAUCUACCACUUUGUCGGGGAAUCGGACUGCAUUCUCUCGUCUUUUGCUCCUUCACCUGCAUCGCAGCUUUUUUCUAUAACGAUUCUAGGCGCUGUUCUCUUGUAUGAUUAAUGCGACCUACUAUGACUGUUGUCCCAAUUUGAUAAUUAUACGGUCUCGGUUCUUUGAACAUUGUGAUAAAAACUAAAUGUGGCGUUUGCAAUUCAUUUGCGAACAUCAAUCUUGGCCCUCGAAUUUUGCCGUAUCAUCAGAUUCUCACAACGCGUGGGACAUAUACCGAUAUUUUUAAAAUAAAUAGCUCAAUUACACAUUUCAUCGUGUGUCGAGCUAAGAAGGACUUGUAAGUACCUUUCAUAUAAGUAUUGACUGAAAUUUUUCAAGUUAUUUUCAAGUACAUAAUGCAACAUGUUUAAAAAAGUUACUUUAUAGUACUCGAAAAGGUGAUUAAGUAUAAACUUAUUAGAAAAUUACUUGAAUUACAUUCACAUUUUUGAGAAUUUUUUAAAUUGCCUAUUUCACAAUGUGUAUAAAAUAUUAUUCUUUUCAA